rnacentral:lncRNA from 1 species
GGCGUACCUGGGUGGGUGUGCGUGGUGCUGUUACCUGGUGGUGUCCCCUGAGGCCAGGUUUAGGGAGGUCCUGCUAUCAGCGGGCCCCUUGGCAGAGUGUCCUCUGUCAGGACCAAUUCUGAGACUGCCACCAAGUAGGGAAGGCUCUAGGUAAGAUGGGACCUGAUGGGUGUCUAGCAAGGUUUUAUGCUAGGUGUUGUUUGUGCCACCGAGGUGGAAAAAAACAAAAACAGUUGACAUUAGCCCCCAGAAUAGCGGUGCCCAGACAAUACAGCAAGAGAAGCUAAGCUUGAGGAUGCUCUGCGAUUGAGAUGUGUUAGCAGCCUGGUUUCCAAGGUUACUGCUGUCACGGACAGGAAGAAUUCCAAAAUGCGGUGCUCCUAUUUUAAAACGCUCUGCUGCUUUUCCCUCGACUUAGCUGAGGAGAAAGCCCAGAAGCUGCCCUCGGUGAAUGGCAGCUAAUGCGCCGUUACUGACGGCUGACACAUUCCGAAUUAGCAAUAGCAGCCCUUACAAGUUGUUUCUGCACGCCUAGUUUUACAUCCCUCCUAUCCCAACAACGCUUUACACAGGAGAAAGCCCGGAAACAAAGAUGUGCGGAAACGUCAGAGUCCUGUAUCUUCUGAACUGGGCUUAAAGCCAAGUAACAGAACUCGUAAUACUGUUCCUCUCUCUGCUUUGUAGCAGGUGUUGUUCUACGUUUAGCGUCAUGUUCAGUGCUACAGAGAAUCCCCUGCUCGUUCCCUCUGCGUGCUGCUUGUGUAGUUGUUUAAACAAACAAUAAAAAGUUACUGGUUUUCACCUGUGUAACCAGAGGAUGGAUUUGUAGUUAUUUUUCAGACUCCGGGUCAAGAACACAAACUUAAGUGUUUAUUCAAACCGGCCUAUAGUUCUGAGACAUGAAGAUUUUACAACAGUGAAAAAUUGUUCCAUGUGUCCUGUGCAUUUCAAAAAUAAAGUUCAUCUGCUUCC